rnacentral:rRNA from 1 species
CCUACGGGGGGCAGCAGUGAGGAAUAUUGGUCAAUGGACGGAAGGCUGAACCAGCCAAGCCGCGUGAAGGACGACGGUGCUAAGCAUUGUAAACUUCUUUUGUCCAGGGACAAAAUCAGGCUCGAGAGCCUGACCGAGGGUACUUGAAGAAAAAGCAUCGGCUAACUCCGUGCCAGCAGCCGCGGUAAUACGGAGGAUGCGAGCGUUAUCCGGAUUUAUUGGGUUUAAAGGGUGCGUAGGCGGAUUGUUAAGUCAGCGGUUAAAGGUCCGGGCUUAACUCGGGGGAGGCCUCUGAUAUUGGUGGUCUUGAGAUUACGAGAGGUAUGCGGAAUGCGCGGUGUAGCGGUGAAAUGCUUAGAGA